GGGUUGUGAGGUUAAGCGACUAAGCGUACACGGUGGAUGCCCUGGCAGUCAGAGGCGAUGAAGGACGUGCUAAUCUGCGAUAAGCGUCGGUAAGGUGAUAUGAACCGUUAUAACCGGCGAUUUCCGAAUGGGGAAACCCAGUGUGAUUCGUCACACUAUCAUUAACUGAAUCCAUAGGUUAAUGAGGCGAACCGGGGGAACUGAAACAUCUAAGUACCCCGAGGAAAAGAAAUCAACCGAGAUUCCCCCAGUAGCGGCGAGCGAACGGGGAGCAGCCCAGAGCCUGAAUCAGUGUGUGUGUUAGUGGAAGCGUCUGGAAAGGCGCGCGAUACAGGGUGACAGCCCCGUACACAAAAAUGCACAUGCUGUGAGCUCGAUGAGUAGGGCGGGACACGUGGUAUCCUGUCUGAAUAUGGGGGGACCAUCCUCCAAGGCUAAAUACUCCUGACUGACCGAUAGUGAACCAGUACCGUGAGGGAAAGGCGAAAAGAACCCCGGCGAGGGGAGUGAAAAAGAACCUGAAACCGUGUACGUACAAGCAGUGGGAGCACGCUUAGGCGUGUGACUGCGUACCUUUUGUAUAAUGGGUCAGCGACUUAUAUUCUGUAGCAAGGUUAACCGAAUAGGGGAGCCGAAGGGAAACCGAGUCUUAACUGGGCGUUAAGUUGCAGGGUAUAGACCCGAAACCCGGUGAUCUAGCCAUGGGCAGGUUGAAGGUUGGGUAACACUAACUGGAGGACCGAACCGACUAAUGUUGAAAAAUUAGCGGAUGACUUGUGGCUGGGGGUGAAAGGCCAAUCAAACCGGGAGAUAGCUGGUUCUCCCCGAAAGCUAUUUAGGUAGCGCCUCGUGAAUUCAUCUCCGGGGGUAGAGCACUGUUUCGGCAAGGGGGUCAUCCCGACUUACCAACCCGAUGCAAACUGCGAAUACCGGAGAAUGUUAUCACGGGAGACACACGGCGGGUGCUAACGUCCGUCGUGAAGAGGGAAACAACCCAGACCGCCAGCUAAGGUCCCAAAGUCAUGGUUAAGUGGGAAACGAUGUGGGAAGGCCCAGACAGCCAGGAUGUUGGCUUAGAAGCAGCCAUCAUUUAAAGAAAGCGUAAUAGCUCACUGGUCGAGUCGGCCUGCGCGGAAGAUGUAACGGGGCUAAACCAUGCACCGAAGCUGCGGCAGCGACGCUUAUGCGUUGUUGGGUAGGGGAGCGUUCUGUAAGCCUGUGAAGGUGUGCUGUGAGGCAUGCUGGAGGUAUCAGAAGUGCGAAUGCUGACAUAAGUAACGAUAAAGCGGGUGAAAAGCCCGCUCGCCGGAAGACCAAGGGUUCCUGUCCAACGUUAAUCGGGGCAGGGUGAGUCGACCCCUAAGGCGAGGCCGAAAGGCGUAGUCGAUGGGAAACAGGUUAAUAUUCCUGUACUUGGUGUUACUGCGAAGGGGGGACGGAGAAGGCUAUGUUGGCCGGGCGACGGUUGUCCCGGUUUAAGCGUGUAGGCUGGUUUUCCAGGCAAAUCCGGAAAAUCAAGGCUGAGGCGUGAUGACGAGGCACUACGGUGCUGAAGCAACAAAUGCCCUGCUUCCAGGAAAAGCCUCUAAGCAUCAGGUAACAUCAAAUCGUACCCCAAACCGACACAGGUGGUCAGGUAGAGAAUACCAAGGCGCUUGAGAGAACUCGGGUGAAGGAACUAGGCAAAAUGGUGCCGUAACUUCGGGAGAAGGCACGCUGAUAUGUAGGUGAAGUCCCUCGCGGAUGGAGCUGAAAUCAGUCGAAGAUACCAGCUGGCUGCAACUGUUUAUUAAAAACACAGCACUGUGCAAACACGAAAGUGGACGUAUACGGUGUGACGCCUGCCCGGUGCCGGAAGGUUAAUUGAUGGGGUCAGCGCAAGCGAAGCUCUUGAUCGAAGCCCCGGUAAACGGCGGCCGUAACUAUAACGGUCCUAAGGUAGCGAAAUUCCUUGUCGGGUAAGUUCCGACCUGCACGAAUGGCGUAAUGAUGGCCAGGCUGUCUCCACCCGAGACUCAGUGAAAUUGAACUCGCUGUGAAGAUGCAGUGUACCCGCGGCAAGACGGAAAGACCCCGUGAACCUUUACUAUAGCUUGACACUGAACAUUGAGCCUUGAUGUGUAGGAUAGGUGGGAGGCUUUGAAGUGUGGACGCCAGUCUGCAUGGAGCCGACCUUGAAAUACCACCCUUUAAUGUUUGAUGUUCUAACGUGGACCCGUGAUCCGGGUUGCGGACAGUGUCUGGUGGGUAGUUUGACUGGGGCGGUCUCCUCCUAAAGAGUAACGGAGGAGCACGAAGGUUGGCUAAUCCUGGUCGGACAUCAGGAGGUUAGUGCAAUGGCAUAAGCCAGCUUGACUGCGAGCGUGACGGCGCGAGCAGGUGCGAAAGCAGGUCAUAGUGAUCCGGUGGUUCUGAAUGGAAGGGCCAUCGCUCAACGGAUAAAAGGUACUCCGGGGAUAACAGGCUGAUACCGCCCAAGAGUUCAUAUCGACGGCGGUGUUUGGCACCUCGAUGUCGGCUCAUCACAUCCUGGGGCUGAAGUAGGUCCCAAGGGUAUGGCUGUUCGCCAUUUAAAGUGGUACGCGAGCUGGGUUUAGAACGUCGUGAGACAGUUCGGUCCCUAUCUGCCGUGGGCGCUGGAGAAUUGAGGGGGGCUGCUCCUAGUACGAGAGGACCGGAGUGGACGCAUCACUGGUGUUCGGGUUGUCAUGCCAAUGGCACUGCCCGGUAGCUAAAUGCGGAAGAGAUAAGUGCUGAAAGCAUCUAAGCACGAAACUUGCCCCGAGAUGAGUUCUCCCUGACUCCUUGAGAGUCCUGAAGGAACGUUGAAGACGACGACGUUGAUAGGCCGGGUGUGUAAGCGCAGCGAUGCGUUGAGCUAACCGGUACUAAUGAACCGUGAGGCUUAACCUUACAACGCCGAAG
rnacentral:rRNA from 1 species